rnacentral:misc_RNA from 1 species
GAUGAAGAACGUAGCGAAAUGCGAUAAGUAAUGUGAAUUGCAGAAUUCAGUGAAUCAUCGAGUCUUUGAACGCACAUUGCGCCCCCUGGUAUUCCGGGGGGCAUGCCCGUCCGAGCGUCAUUGCUGCCCUCAAGCACGGCUUGUGUGUUGGGCCUCCGUCCUCCUCCCGGGGGACGGGCCCGAAAGGCAGCGGCGGCACCGCGUCCGGUCCUCGAGCGUAUGGGGCUUCGUCACCCGCUCUUGUAGGCCCGGCCGGCGCUUGCCGACACAUCAAUCUUUUUUCCAGGUUGACCUCGGAUCAGGUAGGGAUACCCGCUGAACUUAAGCAUAUCAAUAAGCGGAGGA